rnacentral:tRNA from 1 species
CAGGGCAUAGCUAAGAGAAUUUAAAGCAUCUCCUUUACACGGAGAAGGCAUCCGUGAAAACCGGAUUGUCCUGA